UACAGAGGUCUCAAGCGUUGUUCGGAUUCAUUGGGCGUAAAGGGUGUGUAGGUGGCGCCGUUAGUCGGGUGUGAAAUUUCGGAGCUUAACUCCGAAACUGCAUUCGAUACUGCGGUGCUUGAGGACUGGAGAGGAGACUGGAAUUCAUGGUGUAGCAGUGAAAUGCGUUGAUAUCGUUCGGAACACCGAAAGCGAAGGCAGAGGACUGGGUGCCACCUGACACUACUAGGACGAAAGCGUGGGGAGCGAAUGGG
rnacentral:rRNA from 1 species